GACGUAGGUGGCGAACGUUAUCCGGAAUUAUUGGGCGUAAAGGAUGCGUAGAUGGUGUAGUAAGUUAUCGGUGGUAAAUCGAGGCUCAACCUCGUGGAAGUCGGUAAUACUGCUAUGCUAGAGGAUAGGAGAGGUUAACGGAACUCCCUGUGGAGCGGUGAAAUGCGUAGAGAUCGGAAAGAACACCAACGGCGAAAGCACUCUGCUGGGCCGACACUGACACUGAGAGACGAAAGCUAGGGGAGCGAAUGGG
rnacentral:rRNA from 1 species